rnacentral:misc_RNA from 1 species
CUCACUCGCCCUCUUCUCACGGCUCUCUGCGACACUCGCCACCGUACCGAAAAGCAAGAGAGGGAGAGAUUUCAGCAUCGAGCUUAGCACACACGCACAUACACACACAUAUAUAUAUAUAUAUAUCCAUAAGGGUCUCUGCCUUGCGAUACCCCCUCCUCCUCCUCCAGCACAGUCAUUCCGCAGCUCCGCAACGUACCCUUGGCAAACGUGUCCAGCGUAUACCUUGGCGCUCACCGCAACACCGCGUCGCCUGCGGGAGGUCCCCCUUUCUCUCCCCCGCAGCUGAGUGGGUGCAAAGACUGGGAAAGUCGCCACCCGCAAGCGAGACCUUCACUUUAUCGCCCAUCCGUGUAUCUGCGCCUUUGCGGCCUCUCUCAUUUCCCCACAGAACAUGUAAGCGAGCCAUAGCGGUGACCGACACAACCUAAUUUGCUAAGCCUAAGAGACGCAGCAAGUCACUCACCACGCUCCUUGUGCCCGCAGAUGCCACCGCGCCAUCGAAUGCCUCGCCCUUCGCCCGGUGAGCUGGAAGAUGCCGUUCGCCCCUACGAAAAGCUCGUGAUUGGCCUCCCCACCGCCAUGGAGGGGUGGCGGCGUGCGUACGGGACAGUCAGAGAGUGGUGCAAGCUAGCACCCAACCCGCUCCUCUGCAGCCCUGCCAACAUCCUUGGCGAGGAAAGCGGCAACGAUCGCAGUCGUGCACUGGCGCUGCCGUCCCGCUCCACAUCGGGGCAUCCCGGCGACGCCACGGCUCGCCCUCCUCCAUUGAACGAGCCACACACGAAUGCGCAGCGCUUUCCUCAAACAAGCGCCGCUCCAGCAGCCAGAAAGGAUGACGCCCUGUACUGCGACGCCUGUCAGCGAGAGUUUGCCACACAGGAAAAGUACGAGGCACACAUGGACACGCAUAUGUACUGCACUGUUGCCGGAUGCCGUUUCACCUGCCGCAAGGGCAAGCCUUGGCGGAUGGAGGAGCACAUAGAGCUGCUGCACAACCGCCCCGAUGCGCCGAACCUGGUGGACAUGAACGCUUACCUCGAGCAGCGCAAGCGCCGCUUCCCCACGCAGGACGCCGUGAAGAUGAAGGUAGAGGAGCUCUACUACAAGGCAGCGCGAGGCGUCGUGCUGCCCGAUGAGCGGCGACGGUGGAUGCAGCAGCAUGGUAUUGUUAUUCGCAAGCGGCCUCGCACGGAGGAGUCUGUGAUUAUACGCGGCGGACUGCCGGCCGGGUCACAUUCUCCAUCGGCAGCGUCGUCUGCAUCUGCGUCGUCGUCCCGGUCGUCGCGCUCGUCGUCUGAGCACCGCCAAAGGCGCUCUUCCCACCGAAACCCGUGCGAACCUUCGCAGCCGCCGGCGCCAUCUCUCGCAAGCGACGCGGAGGGCGGGCAAGCUCGCUUCAUUCAGCCGCCGUCCGUCUCAUCUUACCAGGAGUCCGACCCCACGGCCGCACCGAUUAAGGCCUCUAACACGUCUCCACAAGGAUCACGGACAGGGGACCAGAGCACCGAUGCUGUUGGUACCACGGCGACUGCCGUGCCUUUGGCAAAGCAGUCGUCUCCCUCGCCGGCUUCGUCGGCUGGUGCCCACGCCGCGCGAGCACAUCCCACGAAGAUAAUCCCUCUUGGCCCCAACGGCACCCUUACCCCGCGGCAACGCGUGCAGCUCGUGCGCGAGCGCUACGCUGCUGCAAAGGAUGUUCCGCAGUUUUACGUCUGCCACCGCUGCGGCAUCAAGGGUGAUCACUGGGUGUCCGACUGCCCGACGAAAGGCGACAACACGUAUGAUCGGCAUGUCGUGUGGGGCGAGGCAAAGUUGUCUGCGUUGGAGAAGGGCGCCAAGCCGCAUCGUGAGAGGGCGGAAAAAGACAACAAUGGGCCAGAGCAGCCGGGGCCCGGUGAUGCUCCGCAGCAAGAGGCGCCAGAGACCACGGCGCCAAGCGACAGCGGUGCCGAGCAAGCUGUAGCUGAGCAGGUGCAUGGCGUUGCGCCAACGCACCCCUUGCCCAGCGAACUCCGCGGGGCGGCGCCUGUCGCGCCUCAAGAGGAACUGAGCGCUAACGCCACACCGCCGUCGGAGGGCCACGCAACACCAGUGGCCGAUGCCCCGAAGGAUCAAAGCAGCGAAGACAUGCCACCGUUGCCGCAGCCUGCAGCGCCGCUGGCUGAUGCGCCGAGGGAGGUGACUCGCAUGAUGGCCCCUGUCGCGGCAGCGAGGUACGCGCAGCCGCACCGCCGCGACCCCGCCCGCCGCCCGCCUCCGCCGCCGACGCUGUACGAGCGACUCACAGAGGAGGCGAGGAUGGAUGAGCAGGGAGUGCUGCUGCAGGCGUUGCGCUUCUUCGUCGCUCGCGACUUCUUUGAAGACCACCCGAAGCCAUGAGAGUCUGGAGGUGGUUUCGAAGACCGCCACUGCGCUGCGGAGGAGGAGGUAUCCGAAUGGUCGAGGCCGCCGCGCGGAGUAUGCGCAUGACUAACUUCAGAAAGGCAGACGCGGCUGAGAUCGUCGAAGUUGUCGCGCAGCUCCUCCAAUACGCCGCGUUGUUGCCCUGGUAGUGACAGUGCCAACGGAGGAGGGCGGCAGAAGUCGGUGGUGGUGGCAUGCGGGCCGCCGUUUGGUUGCACGCGCGCGCUUAACAAAGAACGGAUGCGAUGCUCUUGUUGCUAAGUGGUGCGACGUGUUUUGUGCCCUCGCCCCGUACCACGGGAUGCCGCCCAAUAGGCUCCCAUAUUGCCCAAGGCACUGUAUUGGUCGUGGGUGGGUGGGGGACGGAGCGAAGGGCUCAACACACGGUUUCUUGUUCGGCACCCGCGCAUGCGGAUUCGCGUAAUAAGGUGCAGUUGCGUACACCGACCCUCGCAUACAUCCAGUGUGUACUGCGAGACGGAGAGUCCCUCUCCCCAGCACACAGGGGGGGGAGGAGGAGAACAGAAGGACAGCGCGGGAACCGUCAGAGCGAGCGAGCGCAAGCAGUGAGGACACCCAUCACUGCUUGCAGGAGAGAAAGCGAAGGUAAAGCGAGGGAAGUAGUCUUGUGCAGCCGUCGCCGCUACAGGCGUCGUGCGGUUGAGUUAGGCGGCGUGGCAAGGGCACUGUAUAGACCCCGUUUCUCAAGCGAACCGCCACCGUUUGGGCAGGGAAAGGGAGAGGAGCUUCUGCCUGCUGUGUUCUUCAUGUGCGCGUCUGCAUCCGACAUGUCUCAUGUAAUGCAGGCGACUCUCGCUUCGCCCGCUUUAAGAAGUGCCACCGUCCCCUCCCCCGCCUUCUAGGCAACAAUAGGAGAAUCUUUCAUCUUACUGACUGCAUCUGUCUGGGCAAGCCCAGCAGACUCAAGUCGACCGCCCCCCCCCCUUGAGACCUCCAGAGGCACCUUCAGUAAGUGUUUCUCUCUCUCGACAUGUUGUGGUGUUGUCUG